CCUGGCUCAGAACGAACGCUGGCGGCAGGCUUAACACAUGCAAGUCGAGCGCCCCGCAAGGGGAGCGGCAGACGGGUGAGUAACGCGUGGGAAUCUACCCUUGACUACGGAAUAACGCAGGGAAACUUGUGCUAAUACCGUAUGUGUCCUUCGGGAGAAAGAUUUAUCGGUCAAGGAUGAGCCCGCGUUGGAUUAGCUAGUUGGUGGGGUAAAGGCCUACCAAGGCGACGAUCCAUAGCUGGUCUGAGAGGAUGAUCAGCCACAUUGGGACUGAGACACGGCCCAAACUCCUACGGGAGGCAGCAGUGGGGAAUAUUGGACAAUGGGCGCAAGCCUGAUCCAGCCAUGCCGCGUGAGUGAUGAAGGCCCUAGGGUUGUAAAGCUCUUUCACCGGAGAAGAUAAU
rnacentral:rRNA from 1 species